rnacentral:rRNA from 1 species
CAAUAGCGUAUAUUAAAGUUGUUGCAGUUAAAAAGCUCGUAGUUGGAUUUCUGGUCGGAAGCUCCUGUCCUCUGAUGAGCGUACAAGUGCGUCCUACCAUCCUUCUGUUAACCUUUAAGGCUUUCGCGGCUUUCUAGGGGCUCAGAUAUUUUACCUUGAGAAAAUUAGAGUGUUUCAGGCAGGCUAGCGCCGGAAUACAUUAGCAUGGAAUAAUGGAAUAGGACUUUUGCCUCUUCUGUUGAUCAUGAGGCUCGAGUAAUGAUUAAUAGGGAUAGUUGGGGGCAUUAGUACUUAACUGUCAGAGGUGAAAUUCUCGGAUUUGUUAAAGACUAACUUAUGCGAAAGCAUUUGCCAAGGAUGUUUUCAUUAA